CUCUCUCUCUGCCCCUCCCCUGCUCGUGCUCUGUUUGUACCUCUCUCAAAAAUAAACAUUAAAAAAUUAAAAAAUUAAAAAAAAACCCGCUGGUUUAAAGGUAAAGAAACUAAACUACAGAAAAUUUAAGGCAUUGGCUCACGGUCAGAAAGACACUGAGUAAUAGAGCCAGGGCUACAGCCCAUGCCCAUGAUACCUAGUUCUCCCCUCCUGCCAUGAUCUACAGUGCGACUUAGGACAUACUCCAUACCAUGAGUCCUUUAGAUUUCUCUUCAACUAUGAAUAUCAUUAAUAUAGGUAAUAUCAUAUCAUUAAUGUUUUGUACAAGGCAAGAGGUAACACAUAUGAAAGUGCUUGUUAAAUUCUAAAGUACUGUGGAAUUUCCAUAGAAGCACAUCAGUAUGAAGAGAGACAGGCACACACAGAGAAUCUACUUUGAGAUAACAUUUGGAGGAAAUAACAGAAGAAAUGAAAAACCCAGAGCAAAGUAGGCUAGAAGCUAGAAGGUGGAUCUGUGGCUGAUUUCAAGUUCCCAACUGCAGAACUGAUCUUAAAUAGUAGUUUAAGUACUUAAUGCAAGCUGGCUGCUCUUGGCAUCUUUCCAAAACUCUCUAUUAGCUGUUGUAGUGGAAUUUUGCCAGCAGCCAAAUUCUCAGCUUUUAGUCUUUAGUGAGUUUAAGGUACCAACAAGGAAACCCAUCCUCAAUGUUUCUAAGACUGGCAGAGCUAUGCCUAACUAAAACAGCUUUAUUCUCUGGACAUAGUAAGUGAAGCUGGAAAAACCCCACGUUAAGAUAAAAAUAAAACCAGACACAUUGCCUAGGCCCCCAGCAGCCUGGUAUCUAAGGAAGCUGUAGAUAUACCCUCAGUUCUCAGGAUUACAUGAGCUUCCCAGAAGCAUGGAUGGAACACAUGACACAAUCCACACACUUUAAUGUGACCAAAGGAGGAACUUCCCUACUUUGCAUGUGUGAAACACCAUUACCUGACCCACUUGUGCAUUAACAUCCUGUACACGACCAGUUCUCAUGUGAAAAGUCACUCACUCGCUCUUGAGGAAAGAAACAAUUAUGUAAAAGAGAAAAAAGUUGUGAAUUUAGGGCUGCAGUUCUAUUACAUUUCAGAGAAUGUAUGAAGUUUCUUGUCCCUUUGAACAAAACAACACAGCUGGUGAAAAAGCAAGUGUUUUUCUUAAAAUGCUCUCAGCACCUCUAAUUUCCUAUUGAAUCUAGAUGUUUCCUUCAUUUUUCUUUUCCUCAUGAUUCCCUGGUGGUCUCCCUCUCUCUAAUAGGACUGUUGACCCUUAAAGACCUCAUAUCAACACUUUCCUGAAAUGGACUGGAACUUCCUAGGGGUGUAUCUGUCAAUUUAAUAUUUGUGUCAUCUAAAGAAAAAAGUGAGCUUAUUCAACCUCUUUCCCAUUUCAUCAAUCAGUGUGAAGGAAAUGAAGAGAGGAGUAAAAAUAGGUGGCUUACAGCUAUCAACAAUGCCUUGUGCCAAACAACACAGAAGGUUCACAAAGUUGCCUGAAUAGUUAACUGAGCAAGUUGCCUUUUACAGAGCAAAUAAGUUAGGAAGUAGGCAAUGGACCAGUGUGGUUUAGUCCAUUAAGACAAAAUGGAGAGGUUACUUUGCUUCUGUCUAUAUUUACCCAAACUCUGGUAAAUAAGAGUUUUUAUAGAAAGGGGACAAGUAGACUAGCUCUCUUCCAUUAUAAGAUGAGUGGAUCUGUGCCACUGAAGAGUAAACUAAGUAUUCCUUUCCCUAGUUCUGGCAAGUGGCAUCAGGCAAGGGUCUGGAAGGACCCUCAGGCCUGUGGGCUGUCUCUAACUUCCAGGCUUUGUAACAGGCAACACCUCCUUUUGAGUGCCACAGACUUCCUUUUCUGGUUGAGUACUUGCAGAAGGAAAACAGUCACAUGCCAAGUUGUUCUUUCUUGCUCUCUGCUAUCAUACAUUUUGAGGUUUACUGAGUAUAAUUCAAAAAAUAAAGGUGCUCUCAUUCUAAAAUUGAAAGAGAAAAGCAUUUUGUUCAUUAUCUAGAGCCAAAGGAAAAUGACUCUCAAGCCUACUCUUAAGCCUGAAUCCAAACUCCAUGGCUAGAUAAAGGAUCAUACAGAAGUAUAAAGCAACUUCCUUCCUAGUUGAAAUAGAACAAAGUAUUUCUAGAUUCCAAACUUACCCUUUGCAAGUUUACUAAGGAGUCUCACAAAAUUACAACUAAAAUACUAUAGUCAUAGAUGUUCCCUAGAACUUUAAAAUGAUGCCACUUCCCUGGGCAAGUCAUAGAAGAGGCAAAUUGACAGUCAUUUGUGUAGUAACAAUGGCCUUCUCCAUCCUUCCAUGCCAGGCCAUUGUGAAGGAAGCGGCCAUGAUGCUCAACACAUUUUACAGCAUGAAUGAACAUCAUCACUAGUCUUUCAAAUGCACCAAGUGUGUUGCAGACAGAUAAACAAGCCCAGCUUGGAGGAAGUGGCUGAAUUUGAAGCUGCAGAUAUGCUCCAGGCAUCACAUUUGGACCGUUUGCUUUACCAGCUGUUUCUAAAAAUAUGUUCAUAAAGGAGACCUUUUCUGUCUAUCUCCAAAACUGCUUUUGUUGAGGCUUUCCCCCCCUUCUCAGAAGAGAAAGGGUAGAGAUAUGGAAAACAACAUCUGCUGAAAUAUCUCACGACUUCAGGGAAGGACUACAGUCAUAAGCUUCACGUGAAAAAAAAAAAAGAGCCACCAAAAAACUCCAAUAAACGAAAUGACUGAAGAGGCUGCUGAAUUCUUUUGGAUUAAAGGUUAUCUCAUGCCUACUGCUGCUAUAUGACCACCUGGUGCAUCCAUGGACCAUUUGUCACCUGAUGAACAGGAUGGAUCCCAGAGGACUGGUGUAUGCUCAGCUACACAGAGUCCUACCUAUCAUCAUCACCAUCAUCAUCAUCAUCAUCAUCAUCGUCUUGAAUUCCUUCAUCAACUUUCUUUACAGAGCUUUACACCAUGAACAUAAUUCAAACUCACUGGAAAAAUAGGAUUCACUAUUUUUUCAAACUAAUGGUCUGGCAGAGUUCUUAUAUCUAAGUCUCCCCACCCAAGAUUUCCCUGCCGGACUUCUUUUAUACAUACAUAUGUAUAAAAUAUAUGUAUUUAUAUAUGUACAUAUACACACACACAUAUUCCUUGCUUUCUGAUAACAAAUGUAAUACAUACUCUAUGUACAAAUUUUGAAGUAUGAAUAACAAAAUAAAACUCACCCAUGGGCCACCACCUAAACAUAAGCACUGUUGAUUCUAUUACUGAUAAUAGAAUCCUUAUAUCUGAUUCAGGACAUCAAAUCUCUGAUUUCCAAUAAACAGUAAACUUAGCAUGGCUUUUUAUUAGGCUAAAUUAAUAUUAAAUAUUAAAUAAUAUUUUCAAUAUUUAGAUAAUAAAUUUUGUUAAGCAAGAGGAUAUUGGUGUAGAUUACCCAAGAGACAGAAAAGGUAGGAGGAGAUGAGAACUAUAGAUACGAAUCCAGUAAUUGUAUUUAGUAGAGAACAUAUCUUUUAUUUUGGCUGGGGACUAAGGUUUUUGACCUUCUAUUGACAUUAAAGAUGGAUCAUGUGAACUCAAAUGUAGGCUAAUUCAACUCGGCAAAAUCAUUCUCUCUACUCGACUAGAAAGGUUCAGAUGAAAAAAAAUUUCUCAAUCUAGAUUCCAGUGCUUAAAAAUUUCCAUUUUUCUUUAAGUCUGUUUAUGCUUAUAAACCAAUUUUGGUUUUCUCAUAACAAGUAUUCUGGAAUAUUUUAGGUCUCCCAUUCUACCUUGUGCCUUUCAUUUAUUUCUUUGGUUGGGAAUCAAAACUCUCUUAAUACUUCACAUAUAAGUGACCUAUGCAUAGAAUAACUUCCUGGGGCCUCAGUGAAAUAAAUGGCUUGAUCUUCAGAUCAUCUAGCUCAUAAUAAAAUUUUAGACUUGGGUCUUUAGUUUCCAAAAUCUAUUAAAUCUAGUGUGCCAGUAUAGAUAAUACUUUAAACCUCAUUUUUCGGUUUCUGGAUGUUGGUUUAUUUGUUUUUAAAGAGACCAGUAAAAUGACAAAGAAAAGUCUGUGGGGAAGGACUAACAUCAGUUGCCAACUUUCAUUUGCUAAUUAAAGAUGUUACGAACAGGGACAAAACAUUAUUUUUGUAAAAGACUGAUUUAGCCAUCAAAGCCUAGAAGAUAUAAUCUCAGAAUAUAGGGCAGUUCUGUAAGUUUAACUUUGUGGAAAUUCUGUAUAUACUGUCCUUACUUUUCUCAUUUCACCAUGGAUGAGCAAAAGUUUUGGCAUGGCUUGACACUGGUUUUUACGUUUGAGUUUUGGAAACAUAGCUCCAAUUUGCCUAACCAUCUGUCCUCAGUGGAGGAAGGUGACAGAAGGAACAACUUCUCACUAGUGCAUGCACUGGUUUAGUCUAUACCACAAGUCACUUCUUGUCCCCACUAAUUACUUCACCAUUUGUCUAAAAUCUUUUAGCUGGUUCCUCUAGUGAACAACAGAAUAGAGAGGUGUAGAGAUGACCCCUGCAUGGCCAGUAAGAAGAAAAAAAAAAACAAAACAAGUUUUCACACAUCCUCUGAAUUU